rnacentral:rRNA from 1 species
GACGAACGCUGGCGGCGUGCUUAACACAUGCAAGUCGAACGGAAAGGCCCUGCUUUUGUGGGGUGCUCGAGUGGCGAACGGGUGAGUAACACGUGAGUAACCUGUCCUUGACUUUGGGAUAACUUCAGGAAACUGGGGCUAAUACCGGAUAGGAUCUCCUGCUGCAUGGUGGUGGGUGGAAAGUUUCGGCCGUUGGGGAUGGACUCUCGGCUUAUCAGCUUGUUGGUGGGGUAGUGGCUUACCAAGGCUUUGACGGGUAGCCCGCCUGAGAGGGUGAACGGCCACAUUGGGACUGCGAUACGGCCCAGAAUCCUACGGGAGGCAGCAGUGGGGAAUAUUGCACAAUGGGCGGAAGCCUGAUGCAGCAACGCCGCGUGCGGGAUGACGGCCUUCGGGUUGUAAACCGCUUUCGCCUGUGACGAAGCGUGAGUGACGGUAAUGGGUAAAGAAGCACCGGCUAACUACGUG